rnacentral:rRNA from 1 species
CAGUCGCCACGGUAAUACGUAGGGUGCGAGCGUUAAUCGGAAUUACUGGGCGUAAAGCGUGCGCAGGCGGUUUUGUAAGACAGAGGUGAAAUCCCCGGGCUCAACCUGGGAACUGCCUUUGUGACUGCAAGGCUAGAGUACGGCAGAGGGGGAUGGAAUUCCGCGUGUAGCAGUGAAAUGCGUAGAUAUGCGGAGGAACACCGAUGGCGAAGGCAAUCCCCUGGGCCUGUACUGACGCUCAUGCACGAAAGCGUGGGGAGCAAACAGGAUUAGAUACCCGUGUAGUCCCUGUCUCUUAUAC